rnacentral:lncRNA from 1 species
GGGGUGAAUAGGCGUAUCUAAAAAAUUCUACACAAAACUCAAAGUCACUUGUCAGCAACUGUCAGAAGUCCCGACAGUUUGGGUCACAACUUCCGACGUUGUCAGAAGUUCCAACGCUAACUGUCAGCAGUUCCGACACCUACGGGAAAUGAACUACAAGUGCUUAAAUGAACUUUGUGAGAUCCACAACUUACAACACCACUGUCUAGUGGUUAGAUGAGGAUGUUGAGAGCCUUUCUUGACACCAAGAGUCCCCCAAACCGU